rnacentral:rRNA from 1 species
AAAGGUAAGCUACUAAGAGCGAAUGGUGGAUGCCUUGACUGGUAAAGGCGAUGAAGGACGUACUAGACUGCGAUAAGCUACGGGGAGCUGUCAAGAAGCUUUGAUCCGUAGAUUUCCGAAUGGGGCAACCCAAUGUAUAGAGAUAUACAUUACCUAUAUAGGAGCGAACGAGGGGAAUUGAAACAUCUUAGUACCCUCAGGAAAAGAAAUCAAUAGAGAUUGCGUCAGUAGCGGCGAGCGAAAGCGCAAGAGGGCAAACCCAGUGCUUGCACUGGGGGUUGUAGGACUGCAAUGUGCAAGAGCUGAGUUUAGCAGAACAUUCUGGAAAGUAUAGCCAUAGAGGGUGAUAGUCCCGUAUGCGAAAAACAAAGCUUAGCUAGCAGUAUCCUGAGUAGGGCGGGACACGAGGAAUCCUGUCUGAAUCCGGGUCGACCA